UACGAAGGGGACUAGCGUUGCUCGGAAUCACUGGGCGUAAAGCGCACGUAGGCGGAUUGCUAAGUCAGGGGUGAAAUCCUGGAGCUCAACUCCAGAACUGCCUUUGAUACUGGCGACCUUGAGUCCGGGAGAGGUGAGUGGAACUGCGAGUGUAGAGGUGAAAUUCGUAGAUAUUCGCAAGAACACCAGUGGCGAAGGCGGCUCACUGGCCCGAUACUGACGCUGAGGUGCGAAAGCGUGGGGAGCAAACAGG
rnacentral:rRNA from 1 species